UACGGGGGGGGCAAGCGUUGUUCGGAAUUACUGGGCGUAAAGGGCUCGUAGGCGGCCAACUAAGUCGGAUGUGAAAUCCCCAGGCUCAACCUGGGAACUGCAUCCGAUACUGGAUGGCUUGAAUUCGGGAGAGGGAUGCAGAAUUCCAGGUGUAGCGGUGAAAUGCGCAGAUAUCGGGAGGAACACCAGCGGCGAAGGCGGCACUCUGGGCUGGAACUGACGCUGAGGAGCGAAAGCGUGGGUAGCAAACAGG
rnacentral:rRNA from 1 species